rnacentral:rRNA from 1 species
GAUGAACGCUAGCUACAGGCUUAACACAUGCAAGUCGCGGGACCGGCUCACGGGUGAGUAACGCGUAUCCAACCUGCCCUUCCCCACUGGCUAACCCGGCGAAAGUCGGACUAAUCCCGUUUGCUGAGGGAUGGGGAUGCGUCCGAUUAGCUUGACGGCGGGGUGACGGCCCACCGUGGCUACGAUCGGUAGGGGUGCUGAGAGGAAGGUCCCCCACACUGGAACGGGAACACGGUCCAGACUCCUACGGGAGGCAGCAGUGAGGAAUAUUGGUCAAUGGGCGGAAGCCUGAACCAGCCAAGUAGCGUGCAGGACGACGGCCUAUGGGUUGUAAUCUGCUUUUAUGCGGGGAUAGGUACCGCAUGAAUAAGGACAGGCUAAUUCCGUGCCAGCAGCCGCGGUAAUUA